rnacentral:rRNA from 1 species
GGCCUACAACAAGUGGUGGAGCAUGUGGUUUAAUGCGAUAAUCCGCGCAAAACCUUACCAACCCUUGACAUAGAAAAUAAACAAUUUUAGUUUUUUAAAUCCUUAAAAUUGUUAUGUUUUUUACAGGUGUUGCACGACUGUCGUCAGCUCGUGUCGUAAGAUGUUUGGUUCAUUCCUUUAACGAGCGCAACUCUUGUCUUUAUCACGUAUUUUACUUUUUAAAAUAAUUUUUAUUUUUAAAGCUUUAUAUGACACUAUCAAUGAUAAAUUGAAGGAAGGUGAGAAUCAAGUCAAGUCCCUGUGGCCCUUAUGGGUUGGGCUACACACGUGCUACAAUGGAAAUUACAAUAAGUUACAAAAUUUUAUUUAAGUUAAUCUUUAAAAGUUUCCUUAGUUCGGAUUACAAACUGCAACUCGUUUGUAUGAAGUUGGAAUC